GGUAACCACAUUUCCCAGCUGUCUACUACCGGUAAUAAAAUCAAAUGGAUUCAGUGCUCACAACUCUUCAGUCUUCGGGCUACUUUCCAUUCUUGAGUUUUUAGCUGAAUUCAUCUCUUUGGCUGGAUUUUAUGAAUCGGGCAGCCGUUAGAACCAAAACAGUUCUGAGGAACUCCCAGGCUGCAGUGUGGUGUGAAAUGUUUUAUGCACAGAAAAUGGAAAUGAGGUGCAGAAACUGGAGGAAAGUCACAUUUCAGUGUUUUGGUUUUGGUGAAUGCCCACAACAAGGCUAGUGAAGGAAGGAGGCAUAGUGGGAGGCUGUUGGCCAGGUGAACUUUUAGAAGACCCUUGCUACAUAGAGAGGAUGUAGAAAAUGUCUUUAUCAUUAGUUGUAUUUCCAGGCUGAGACAAUACAAAAGAUGGACAGCUCUAAGUUGAUUAUCAAGCUUUAAAUAUUUUUCACUUGAUUAAGAGCAUUGAAGGUGAGAAUGGAAUUAUGUAGGCUUCACUGAGUAUCCGUGAAGUUGGGAACAAUGAUAUACAACACAGAAAAGAAGCUCCAUAAGAAAACAGCUGCAACUAACCCAUCUGGAAAGAGACCUCAAUCAAAAUGAUACUUAGAGAAAGAAAAAUACUUUCAGUGAUCAAAUUAUUUGUCUGGCCAAUGCUUGGUGGAAAGAUUCCACAUUACUAGUUAUUUGUAAUGGGUAAUUGCACAAUAUACUGUAUUGUUCAAUCUGGUGUGAAUGAAAGUGGGG
rnacentral:sRNA from 1 species